AGAUUUUAUCGGAUGCAGCCCUACUAAAGCGACAACAGCUAGAGAUAGAAGAACUGCGUAGUCAACCUCAGGGUUCUCAUUCAGAGGUGCUGGAGCAGGAGAUCUUGAAACUGCGGAAGGACAUGUUAAAAUAUGAACUAGAACGUGAAAAGCUUGCCAUGGAGCUUGAGGAAGAGAGAAAAUCACAUAUGGAGUGGGAUUUGUGUAUUAAGGAG